rnacentral:misc_RNA from 1 species
AAGUCGUAACAAGGUUUCCGUAGGUGAACCUGCGGAAGGAUCAUUAACACUUUUUUGAAAGCAUCCAAUAUCAACAAAUGACAACCAAACGGUCAACUAUCUCCUCCCUAUUUCGCACACCGGAGACGGUACGAGUAGGCUAACAUGUAAAUAACAAGCACAAGCUCAAGCAAUUGCGCAUGCGCAUGUUAUUUUCAAACCCAAGAUAACCCCUUUUAAUUAUAUUAUUCAUUUAAUAUAAACGAACAACUCUUCGAAUUUGCCCUUUCAUUGUUUUUCAAUGAAUAACAAAAACGAACUAAACUAAAAUAUACAUUCGAUAUAUUUUUAUUUUACGAAAUAAUAUUAUAUUUAUAAGAACAACUCUUAGCAAUGGAUAUCUUGGUUCUC